UACGUAAAAUGCUAGCGUUAUCCGGAAUUAUUGGGCGUAAAGAGUUUGUAGGUGGUCGAGUGUGUUCAAUGUUAAAUCCUAGAGCUUAACUUUAGACUCGCAUUGAAUACUACCCGACUUGAGUAUGAUAGAGGUAAAGGGAAUUCCCAGUGUAGCGGUGAAAUGCGUAGAUAUUGGGAAGAACACCAACGGCGAAAGCACUUUACUAGGUUAAUACUGACACUGAGAAACGAAAGCUAAGGUAG
rnacentral:rRNA from 1 species